rnacentral:tRNA from 1 species
GAACCUGCCGCACAAUAAAAAAGGAGAGCGCAACACUGGCAGUGUUGAGGUCAGCGGUUCGAUCCCGCUUAGCUCCACCA